rnacentral:rRNA from 1 species
AGGCCUAACACAUGCAAGUCGAGCGGUAGCGGGCCUGACCACUCUCGAGUGGUUCAGGUGCCGACGAGCGGCGGACGGGUGCGUAACACGUAGGAAUCUGCCCGGUAGUGGGGGAUAGCCCGGAGAAAUUCGGAUUAAUACCGCAUACGCCCUAAGGGGGAAAGCAGGGGAUCUUCGGACCUUGCGCUAUCGGAUGAGCCUGCGUCGGAUUAGCUAGUUGGUGGGGUAAAGGCCUACCAAGGCGACGAUCCGUAGCUGGUCUGAGAGGAUGAUCAGCCACACUGGGACUGAGACACGGCCCAGACUCCUACGGGAGGCAGCAGUGGGGAAUAUUGCACAAUGGGCGAAAGCCUGAUGCAGCCAUGCCGCGUGUGUGAAGAAGGCCCUAGGGUUGUAAAGCACUUUCAGUGGGGAGGAAAGGUCGAAGGUUAAUACCCUUUGGCUGUGACGUUACCCACAGAAGAAGCACCGGCUAACUCCGUGCCAGCAGCCGCGGUAAUACGGAGGGUGCGAGCGUUAAUCGGAAUUACUGGGCGUAAAGCGUGCGUAGGCGGCCAUUUAAGUUGGAUGUGAAAGCCCCGGGCUCAACCUGGGAACUGCAUCCAAAACUGGGUGGCUUGAGUGCGAGAGAGGAGUGUGGAAUUUCCUGUGUAGCGGUGAAAUGCGUAGAUAUAGGAAGGAACACCAGUGGCGAAGGCGACACUCUGGCUUGACACUGACGCUGAGGUACGAAAGCGUGGGGAGCAAACAGGAUUAGAUACCCUGGUAGUCCACGCCGUAAACGAUGUCUACUAGUUGUCGGUGGUCUUGUACUGCUGGUAACGCAGCUAACGC